GUGCAGCUUCAAAGCGACUGCUCCAUGUGUGUGUGGAUGCCAGUUUCAUCCUGAGCUGCAAGAGGU
rnacentral:sRNA from 1 species